rnacentral:piRNA from 1 species
UUGCAAUUGUUCUGAAGAGAUUUA